ensembl:lncRNA
GUCGGCCCCUCAGCCACAUUUCAUCCCAGCCAAAGGGGCACCGCACCUUCACAUCCAUUCUUCACAGCCUGUUUCCCUCUGUGUUUGUACCUGUUUUCUCUCUCUCUCUCUCUCUCUCUCUCUCUCUCUCUCUCUCUCUCUCUCUCUCUCUGAGGAUUUAACAUUCUUUCCGCUCGGCAGUCAUUGUGUAUUAACCGGGGCUUUUGUCACACGCCACCCUCUCGUCUGUGACCGAACUCCCUCUCUUCUUCUCUCCCUUUUUUUCCCCCUUCACUUCCUUUCGCCUCUUGGUUGCGCCUUGUUUCAUCCAUCGUUUUCCUCCCCCCCCCACACCCUCUAUCAUUUUCUCUUCCUCUCCUCUUCUGCUUUAGCCGCGGCGUUUGUUUUCUGUGACGGCUCUUUGCUCCGCAGAAGUGAAACGGUCGUAUUGAGCAAUACGACUGCAGGAGGACACCGUCUCUCUGUCCAUGCGUCUCCUACAUGGGGACGUUUGCCAUAAUCCAGGUGGACGGCUGAAAGUAGUCUGUUCGUGGAAUCACUACGGUGUCUGGGCUGGUGGAGGAAACGAGAGCCGUCGGUCUACUGGUCCAUUCAGUCCAGAGCUGUCGCUUCAUCUUCAACGACUCGUUUCAGCACACAGAGAGCAGCUCGCCGCGAGCGUUCUUCCAGGGAGGACAAUACGUGGCCGUGUCUCGUAAAAUGACAUGACAUCUUUGAUCUCGGUGUAUUCAACUGCAACACUGUGUAAACGGCGUUUUUGCAUUCACGGAUGACCGCGAUCAUUGCGCCAGGGAAGGAGCCCGGGGACGCCGCGUUCACACGACAAACCAACACUCAGCGAGCAGACGGCGGUUCUUUGUGUCCGAGGGGGUCCUGCGUCACUCUGUUUAAUAAAAAAAAAAAAAAAGCGCCUGCAAAGUUUCCAACAAGGAGACCAUUGAUUCAUUGGGAGAAAGCUGAAAGUAGCUCAGGACGUGAUGGGAGUGUUAAAUGAACAUGCUUUCUUUUCACGGUAAACCGGGGGGAGAAAGAGAGAGAAAAACGUGUGGAAGUGGAAAGAGAAAUGGACGAGUAAA